GGAAGCAAAAGUCGUAACAAGGUUUCCGUAGGUGAACCUGCGGAAGGAUCAUUAAAGAGUAAGGGUCUUCGGGCCCGAUCUCCAACCCUUUGUUUAACUACCAUGUUGCUUUGGCGGGCCCGUCUCACGACCGCCGGAAGUUUGGCUUCGACCAAACUUCUGGCCCGUGCCCGUCAGUGGCCCCUUCAAAUUCUUGAUCAAGUAUGAUGUCUUAGUUAAAAACUUAAUAGUUAAAACUUUCAACAACGGAUCUCUUGGUUCUG
rnacentral:misc_RNA from 1 species